rnacentral:rRNA from 1 species
GACGAACGCUGGCGGCGUGCCUAACACAUGCAAGUCGAGCGAGAGACUUCGGUCUCUAGCGGCGGACGGGUGAGUAACACGUGGGUAACCUGCCUCAAACAGGGGGAUAGCCUCCCGAAAGGGAGAUUAAUACCGCAUAACAUCACGCUAUCGCAUGAUAGUGUGAUCAAAGGAGUAAUCCAGUUUGAGAUGGGCCCGCGGCGCAUUAGCUAGUUGGUGAGGUAAAGGCUUACCAAGGCGACGAUGCGUAGCCGACCUGAGAGGGUGAUCGGCCACAUUGGAACUGAGACACGGUCCAGACUCCUACGGGAGGCAGCAGUGGGGAAUAUUGCACAAUGGGGGAAACCCUGAUGCAGCAACGCCGCGUGAGUGAUGAAGGCCUUCGGGUUGUAAAGCUCUGUCUUUGGGGACGAUUAUGACGGUACCCAAGGAGGAAGCCACGGCUAACUACGUGC